CUUUAUUGGAGAGUUUGAUCCUGGCUCAGGAUGAACGCUGGCGGCGUGCCUAAUACAUGCAAGUCGAGCGAAUGGAUUGAGAGCUUGCUCUCAAGAAGUUAGCGGCGGACGGGUGAGUAACACGUGGGUAACCUGCCCGUAAGACUGGGAUAACUCCGGGAAACCGGGGCUAAUACCGGAUAACAUUUUGAACUGCAUGGUUCGAAAUUGAAAGGCGGCUUCGGCUGUCACUUAUGGAUGGACCCGCGUCGCAUUAGCUAGU
rnacentral:rRNA from 1 species